AAUCAUCAAUCUAACAUUGCUUUUGUGAUGCUGGAUUGGAUUUGGAGACUGCUGGUCUUACGAUUGGCUUCUCUUGAAUGCAUUAGUUGAAUCGAGUUGCAACGCUACGUGUGGUGUGAUAAUAUCUUCACUGCAUAGUUGUAAUGAUGUUUAGCUUCUAACCGUCCUUCGUUGGACAAUACGUGACC
rnacentral:misc_RNA from 1 species